GCGCCCAUAGCUCAGUUGGAUAGAGCAACGGCCUUCUAAGCCGUGGGUCGCAGGUUCGAAUCCUGCUGGGCGCGCCA
rnacentral:tRNA from 1 species